rnacentral:lncRNA from 1 species
GGUUAGUGAGUGCAAUGAGCUGCUGCGUGCUUAGUUUUUUAAUCACGUUGCACGCAUUAGCUGAAGGUCAUGUGAAAGCCCAGUGUGUGGAAAUGGCAUUACUUGCCUGACCACAUCAUUCUUGCCGUCAGGUGGCUGUGGUGGUGCAGUUAUAGCCCCCCCCCCCCCCCUCCCCCCCGUCCCGGUGGCAAAAGCUGCAAUUUUGUCAGAAGUGGCUCACGCUUCUGCAUGGUUCUGUGGGGAAGGCAAGCCUCGGCAAAGACGACAGUGCUGCCGGUGUCCCAAUGGGUGGUGCCAUAUUUACAUGAGAGAGAGAGAGAGAGAAAAAGAAAAUGGCUGCCUUUUACGAAAUUGCGAGUUGGAGAGCGAUUCAAGUCGUAUGCGAGGCAGCUUAUGAGUGUAGUUGUAGUUGGCGACCUUAUUUUUCUGAGCUUUUUAGUUACGCAGGAAUGUUAACCCGUGCACGUGUCAGCUUAUGUAAGCGCUGAAGCCAACUCAUUUGGGCUAGUGGUUUUAAUUUGAGUACAAUGUCGUGCUUGUAUAUCACGGUGUUUAAGGUUCAGCAUUUUUUAAAAGCACAACUAUAAGAGCAUUUCUAGCCCUCAGACCCUAUGUCUCUGUUCCCGUAAGGUCUUGAUUUGGUUUUUCAUUGAGCAGCAAAUUGUGUGGUAAGCGUGUACUGCACAUUAGAGCAUAAGCCUCUUUUUUUUUAUUGUUAUUAUUUCUUUUUCUCUGGAACGGUUGCUGUUAACAUCACAUUUUGAAUGUUGUGUCAAUUAGAUAUUAUCAUUCCAUAAUAUGGUUAUGUGUUUCGAUGCUUCUCAAGCCACGGACAGAUUGUUAAUGCAAGAAGUAUGCAACUCACAACAAGGCAUGCAGUGAAGCAUGCCCUCUGCAGCAGUUUUCACUUCCCAGGGGCAAAGUGACAACACAUGAGCCAGUGUGAACUUAAAUUAUAUUUGAGUAGUCAUGGUGUCUGAGCUAUGUAUUUUUGCUAGUAGGUAGCUGGCAUGAUUGAUCUUGUUUGUAUGACUUGAGAGUACGGGACCUUGAGGCCACAAGUUCAAAACCCGGCCACAGGGGCCACGUUAUGAUGGGGUCUGGUGCAAUACUCUUGAUGCGCCACCCCUACAGUUAGUUUUUGGGAAUGGGAUCAAAGAGGAAACUUUUUUUUUUUCUUUUUGAGCCAAUGCCUCCAUCUUCAAUUUGAAAGGCACGGUAAAUAUUUCCCUGCAACCUCCACAUUGUUCACAUAAAUUUUGGCCUGUGUGGCGAAGUUGCUAGGAAAAUAUCUUUUUCACGGAUCCCAUGCUCUUGAAAUUCUUACAGCCCACUGUACCUUGGUGUAGUUGCAUGUUGUAAAAGUCGAGGUGAUCAAAAUUAAUUCAUAGCCCUCCACUAUGGUGUCUCUUGUAGCCUACCGCGCUUCCUUCGGAAGGUUGAACUCGACAAUUAAGAUGUGUUCAUGUUUGCUUGUGCACGUGUGACACUAUGCUUGUUAAUUUAGUUAGUAUGCCUUCAUUUAAAAGUUUAUAUGGCCGAUAAAACUACUAUCCUUACUUUGUGUAGCUCUCCACUAAUUUGCUAUCACAAGCCUUUCGGACGAAACUGCGUCUUUUCAAAAAUUUUUGUUAUUUCUCCAUGUCAGCUGUCGUUGAUAGUUAAGAGAUAACAAGAGCCAGCUCAGCAUUAGUCAACAAACGGCUGUUCGGGGAGCUAUGGGAAAUUGAGAAAGAGGCGCUGUGUCUUGUUCAGCCGAAGCUUUGGUCUUGUCCGUGACACAUAAAAAGUUUGCCCUGUUGUUAUGACAGGAAAAAGUUGCAGUUUCGCCCAAAAGGUGGAGCGUUGAUUGGGAUAGCUAAUUAUUAGACAGCUAUUCAAAGUAAAUUUAGUAGUUUUAUUGACUGUGUAAACUGCUGUAAACAUUUGCUUACUAGCUAAAUUAACAGGCAUGGUGUCACACGCGCACAGGCAAACAUCAACGCAUCUCACUCGAUGACGACGGACGCUCAUUGCCACAACAUUGGUGUGUUGAAUUAUGGUGUGCGAAUUAAUUCCCAUUCGUGCUUCUUUAAUGCGAGCUAGGCGUGCGAAAACACAGCGCACAUGAAGGCCAACAGAUUACCUCCAACGUAGGGCGCACGCGGCCAUGCUCAGCAGCACCAUCCGUAGCUGUGGACAGAGUUAAAGAUGAGAUGCACGCUAAGCAGAAUUCUUUGUUGGGCUUGUUGUUGAACAAACAUGACAGAAGUAGCUCAAGAAAUUUGGGGAAAACAAUGGGAGAGUGGUGACAGGACAGAGUGCACUGCCCUGUCACUUUGCUUAGAAUUUUUUUUUUUCGAUACUUCCAUCAUAUCUGUACUUUCAUGUAUCAUCUUCAUUUCCAUGGGUAAUUUCUUUCUGCAUUAGAACAGACAUCUGAAGUACCAACUCACAUAGGUGUUGGUGUGACUCCUUUUGUGUUGCUUUAGUUAAUAGGGAGGAUAGCGGUGACAUACUGUAAAACGUAGAUGUGUGCACUAGUGCUGGUGGUGCCACCCGGCAGAGCUACACUUAUUAACUAGGUUUGCACAGAACUUUUACCACGGUGACCCAACUAUAUUUCAUUUAUGUGCUGGGGUGAGUGUAUUGGCAGCCACAUAAUAAAGGCAUCUUUGUACCUUUGCUCUUUCCAAAGAAAACAGUAAAGUGACGCACUUGAGCUUUCAGCAUGUUAAGGUUGACACGGUGCUGUUGCCACCAGUACUUCUGUUCCCAGGUGCAUUGUCUGCUCUUGCAGCAUAGCUCUACAGUAGGGACGUCUCCAUUGCAUUUAAGCCUCUCCCUGGUUUCAUGAGCUGGUGUCUCAUUUCAUUUCAUUGGUGUCUCCGCUUACCAAAGCUCUUUUCCAUGGCCUGUCUGCAUCCAAAUGUGGCGAAGCAUCAUGUUCACUCAUGACCAUUGCCAUUUUUUAGUGCAGUUUGGUGUCGUGCUUCUCUUUUCUGAAUGCUUAUUUGUGUUCAUGACUUCAUAGAGGCAUGAAAAUCUCCCAUCACCAGUGGAUCAAAUUACCUUCUUUUUUUAAAUGUCAUUGUUUCACAUGCUUGUAGUGUAGUUUAUGUUCGGUGAGCUUUUUUUGUGUGUGGUGGAAGAGACGUGUCGGUGGAUCAUUAUGUCUUAUAUAUAGUUGUGCUGCUCGUUUUCAUCUGGAAUGGUGGGUCUGUUAGUGCUUCCGUGUGAAACAGUAUUCUUGCCUCAGUGUCCUCUUGCAUCAUUCAUAAUGAAAUGAACAGUUUGUGCACUUCCCUGUGAAAAACUUGACUGAAACCUGUAAUGAGCACUGUAGUGGUCUUAUAUUUUUGUAUGCCAAGUUGCUAACUGCGAACUGAUCAUUUCUUUUCUUUGCAUAUCGUUAGCUUCCCAAGUUUAACACUGGCCAGCUAGCUUGGCAUUCUGCAUUUUGUUUUAAGUUCGUAAGUUUUACUAUUUGAGCAACCAUUGUUUGAGUAUUUACACAAAAUAUUUAACCAUCAAUUUGAAGCAGUGGUUCCCGCGGUUUGACCCAUUUUGCAUUAUACAUCUAUUUUUGUUGUGUUCAGGCAUACAAGACACCUGUGACUAUUCUCGCACUGCAUUAAUUUUGAGAGUGAUCAUCGCCGUAAUUAUGACAUGACGAGCAGGUCUGGUGAUCUAAUCUCAGUACUUUACUUUCUGCUAGUGCUUACGCUCAACGAUGUCAACAUUUACACGUUGUACAUGAACUUUAAAUGUUGUAUUACUAUGCACUCGUGCUGCUGCAUUACAUUACAUGACUGUUAUGCUUUAAACAUUCACCUCAUAUAUGUGCCUUAGCUGCGGCAAAUUAUGUUAUACUUCUAGUGUAGCACACAUUAAGGGAAGUGGCCUUUCUAUAAUUGUUUCUCUCUUUUAGUCUUGUAUAUUUAGAUUAGUUCCACAGAGCUCGAUCGAAGCCGGUGGGUUUGUCGUGGCCUGCAAUCGUUUUUGCUCUCAUCUGUGUUGGUGCUCUUUGGUGCAAUGAUGAAAUCACAUGCAAGAUGUUACUAUAACAUUACAUUUUUUUUUUCACACAAUAAAGUUCCUUUACAUUUUUCUGA